GAUGAACGCUGGCGGCGUGCCUAAUACAUGCAAGUCGAGCGAACAGACGAGGAGCUUGCUCCUCUGACGUUAGCGGCGGACGGGUGAGUAACACGUGGAUAACCUACCUAUAAGACUGGGAUAACUUCGGGAAACCGGAGCUAAUACCGGAUAAUAUAUUGAACCGCAUGGUUCAAUAGUGAAAAACGGUUUUGCUGUCACUUAUAGAUGGAUCCGCGCCGCAUUAGCUAGUUGGUAAGGUAGCGGCUUACCAAGGCGACGAUGCGUAGCCGACCUGAGAGGGUGAUCGGCCACACUGGAACUGAGACACGGUCCAGACUCCUACGGGAGGCAGCAGUAGGGAAUCUUCCGCAAUGGGCGAAAGCCUGACGGAGCAACGCCGCGUGAGUGAUGAAGGUCUUCGGAUCGUAAAACUCUGUUAUUAGGGAAGAACAAAUGUGUAAGUAACUAUGCACGUCUUGACGGUACCUAAUCAGAAAGCCACGGCUAACUACGUG
rnacentral:rRNA from 1 species